GGUUAAGCGAAUAAGCGUACACGGUGGAUGCCCUGGCAGUCAGAGGCGAUGAAGGACGUGCUAAUCUGCGAUAAGCGUCGGUAAGGUGAUAUGAACCGUUACAGCCGACGAUUUCCGAAUGGGGAAACCCGGUGCACUCAGUGCAUCAUCGUUAACUGAAUACAUAGGUUAACGAGGCGAACCGGGGGAACUGAAACAUCUAAGUACCCCGAGGAAAAGAAAUCAACCGAGAUUCCCCCAGUAGCGGCGAGCGAACGGGGAGGAGCCCGGAACCAUCAUCAGUG
rnacentral:rRNA from 1 species